rnacentral:rRNA from 1 species
CCUGGCUCAGGAUGAACGCUGGCGGCGUGCCUAACACAUGCAAGUCGAACGAAGCACCUUACCUGAUUCUUCGGAUGAAGGUCUGGUGACUGAGUGGCGGACGGGUGAGUAACGCGUGGGUAACCUGCCCUGUACAGGGGGAUAACAGCUGGAAACGGCUGCUAAUACCGCAUAAGCGCACGAGGAGACAUCUCCUUGUGUGAAAAACUCCGGUGGUACAGGAUGGGCCCGCGUCUGAUUAGCUGGUUGGCAGGGUAACGGCCUACCAAGGCAACGAUCAGUAGCCGGUCUGAGAGGAUGAACGGCCACAUUGGAACUGAGACACGGUCCAAACUCCUACGGGAGGCAGCAGUGGGGAAUAUUGCACAAUGGGGGAAACCCUGAUGCAGCAACGCCGCGUGAGUGAAGAAGUAUUUCGGUAUGUAAAGCUCUAUCAGCAGGGAAGAUAAUGACGGUACCUGACUAAGAAGCUCCGGCUAAAUACGUGCCAGCAGCCGCGGUAAUACGUAUGGAGCAAGCGUUAUCCGGAUUUACUGGGUGUAAAGGGUGCGUAGGUGGCAGUGCAAGUCAGAUGUGAAAGGCCGGGGCUCAACCCCGGAGCUGCAUUUGAAACUGCUCGGCUAGAGUACAGGAGAGGCAGGCGGAAUUCCUAGUGUAGCGGUGAAAUGCGUAGAUAUUAGGAGGAACACCAGUGGCGAAGGCGGCCUGCUGGACUGUUACUGACACUGAGGCACGAAAGCGUGGGGAGCAAACAGGAUUAGAUACCCUGGUAGUCCACGCCGUAAACG